rnacentral:rRNA from 1 species
AGAUUGAACGCUGGCGGCAUGCCUUACACAUGCAAGUCGAACGGCAGCACGGGAGCAAUCCUGGUGGCGAGUGGCGAACGGGUGAGUAAUACAUCGGAACGUGCCCAAUCGUGGGGGAUAACGCAGCGAAAGCUGUGCUAAUACCGCAUAAGAUCUACGGAUGAAAGCAGGGGAUCGCAAGACCUUGCGCGAAUGGAGCGGCCGAUGGCAGAUUAGGUAGUUGGUGAGGUAAAGGCUCACCAAGCCUUCGAUCUGUAGCUGGUCUGAGAGGACGACCAGCCACACGUGGGACUGAGACACGGCCCAGACUCCGUACGGGAGCAGCGAGGUGGGUAAUUUGGACAGUGGGACGAAAGCCUAGACUCCAGCCGAUCGCCGCGUGACGAGGAGUAGGAACGGUCCGUU